CAGCUGUAGCUCAAUUGGAUAGAGUAUUCGGCUACGAACCGAAAGGUUGCAGGUUCGAUUCCUGUCAGCUGC
rnacentral:tRNA from 1 species